GGAGGAUUUGCACUGAUGAUCUACAAACUGAGACACAAGAGAACACAAGGAUGAAGAUCCUCCUCAUCUUCAUCCUCUGCCUUCUCUCAGGUCCAGUAGACUGCUCUGAUGUGACUGGUUACUCAGGAGGAAGUGUCAUUAUGAUAUCUAAUAUCAACUGAUAAGUUCUUCCUGGUACUGAUCAGAAAGCUGAAGCCACAGGAUGCUGGAACAUACAGAUUUGGAUUGGAGAAUCAGAGCAACGCCACUGUGAACCUAAAAGUUGUUAAUGAUUCUUGUUGUGCUGGGACAAAAUUAAAGACCGCUUUUGUUGGGCAGAAUAUCACCACCACAUGUAGCUAUCCAGGGGAGUAUGAGAGUAACAUCAAGUAUGUCCUCAAACUGGAUGACGACAUGUUUGUUCAAAACGUUGUUGAUACUGACAAAGAAUUUCAGAACGGAAGAUUCUCCAUUUCUGAUGACAAAAGUGCUAAAGUUCUCAGAGUGAACCUCAGCGAUGUGAGAGAAGCUGAUGGAGUAUUUUAUUUAUUUGGAGUGUGGAACAAAGAUGGGUCAGUCGGAUAUUACUCCUACUUUACAGAGAUUCAGCUGCAUGUAACAGGAUUGAGCACGAGCAUUCAACCAACAACAACAACAGGCACCGACAUGACGACCUCAGCAGCACUGACAGAAACUCCAUCUGCAGUGUGUUUCAGUUCCUCUGCCAUCAUCAUCGGUGUGUGUGUCUGUGUGGCUCUGCUGCUGAUUGGAGGAUUUGCACUGAUGAUCUACAAACUGAGACACAAGAGAACACAAGGUUACUUCUGAUCAUAACACCGAUUCAGCUCAUCUGUACGAAAAUUUCAGAAUGAGCUCAAUAUGAAUCUGCACCAGGACACAAACCAAUCAGACUGUUGAGCUGUUAUUCUUACUGUUCUGAGCUGCCUCGUAGUGCCUCAACUCCCAAUGCUGUAGUGUCUCUCUUCACCUCUUUAUAGGACUGAAACCUAAAAAACAAUGCUGAUCCUAAAUCCAUGCCAGUUUGAUCAGGUGCAGUUUCUGGAGGACUGCUAGCCAGUUUCUCUCUCUCUCUCUCUCUCUCUCUCUCUCUCUCUGUCUCUCUGUCUCUCUGUCUUUCUCUCUCUCUCUGUCUUUCUCUCUCUUUUUCUCUCUCUCUCUAUCGCUCUCUCGUUCUCUGUCUUUCUCUCUCUUUCUCUCUCCCUUGCUCUCUUUCUCUCUCUCUAUCGCUCUGUCUCUCUCUCUCUCUAUCGCUCUCUUUGUUUCUUGUAGUUUUUACAUUUGUUUAGUUAAAGAUAAAGUGAUGAUUGUGAGCAAGGUGUUAUGAAACUUAUUAUCUAUAUAAAUGAAACAUUAUCGAUGUAUAAUGACUGAUAAAUGAUAUUAUUAUUAUUAUUAUUAUUAUUAUUAUUAUUAUUAUUAUUAUUAUUAUUAUUAUUAUUGUUGUAAUGAUUACUUAAUUAAUUGUUUCUUAACUAGUUAUCCAUUUUAUAUCAUGACAUUACUGUGCUUUAUUCUGAUCUGUUAUAGGAGUUACUUUAUUACAGUUUAAAUAUGAACCCAUUUAGUGCUGAGAUCUCGUUCAACACAUCGUACGCUCUGUUUCGAUUACGCUGUUGAGGCUUAAGAAGGAGAGCUAUAUUCCAAAUAACUGUCUAUAUCUAAUUGUGUAUUUCUGUUAUAUGUCAGUGAAAUUCUCUAAAUCAAUAAAAACACACUUCCUGUCCUUUAAAC
ensembl:lncRNA